UAGGGAAUCUUCCGCAAUGGACGCAAGUCUGACGGAGCAACGCCGCGUGAGUGAAGAAGGAUUUCGGUUCGUAAAACUCUGUUGUUAGAGAAGAACAGCGCAUAGAGUAACUGUUAUGCGUGUGACGGUAUCUAACCAGAAAGCCACGGCUAACUACGUGCCAGCAGCCGCGGUAAUACGUAGGUGGCAAGCGUUGUCCGGAUUUAUUGGGCGUAAAGCGAGCGCAGGCGGUCAAUUAAGUCUGAUGUGAAAGCCCCCGGCUCAACCGGGGAGGGGCAUUGGAAAGUGGUUGACUUGAGUGCAGAAGAGGAGAGUGGAAUUCCAUGUGUAGCGGUGAAAUGCGUAGAUAUAUGGAGGAACACCAGUGGCGAAGGCGACUCUCUGGUCUGUAACUGACGCUGAGGCUAGAAAGCGUGGGUAGCAAACAGG
rnacentral:rRNA from 1 species